AGGAUGAACGCUGGCGGCGUGCCUAACACAUGCAAGUCGAACGUCCUGUCUCGCAAGAGGCAGGGAGUGGCGGACGGGUGAGUACCACGUGGGUCAUCUACCGUGAGGUGAGGAAUACCGGCGAGAAAUCGCCGACAAGACCGCAUAGGCUCGAUGCAAGUCGAGCAAAGCUCUUUCGAGAGAGGGAGCGCCACACGAGGAGCCUGCGCCCGAUUAGCUAGCUGGUGGAGUAACGGUUCACCAGGGCGACGAUCGGUAGCUGGUCUGAGAGGACGAUCAGCCACACUGGGAUUGAGAACGGCCCAGACUCCUACGGGGGGCAGCAGUGAGGAAUUUCGUCAAUGGGGGCAACCCUGAACGAGCAACGCCGCGUGCAGGAAGAAGGUUUUCGGAUCGUAAACUGCUUUUCUCGGGAAGAGAACGGACGGUACCCGAGGAAUCAGCCCCGGCUAACUACGCGCCAGCAGCCGCGGU
rnacentral:rRNA from 1 species